GGCACUUUGGCGGAGUGGUUAACGCGCUGGCCUGCUAUACAGCGCUCGCCGAGCAUCGGUGAUUAACAGCUGGAAGCUGAUGAGCCAGUUCCUUCGGGAGCGUGAGUUCGAAUCUCACAGGUGUCG